ensembl:lncRNA
AAAAAGGGGAUGGGCGUCCGGCAGGGGACUGGGCGUCCGACUGGGGACUGGGUAUCUGGCUGGGGACUGCGUGUCCGGCAGGGGGCUGGACGUCUGGCCGGGGACUGGGUGUCUGGCUGGGGACUGGACGUCUGGCUGGGGACUGGGCGUACGGCUGGGGGCUGGACGUCUGGCUGGGGACUGGACGUCCGGCUGGGGACUGGGCGUCCGGCUGGGGACUGGGGGUCUGGCUGGGGACUGGGUGUCUGGCUGGGGGCUGGACGUCUGGCCGGGGACUGGGCGUCCGGCUGGGGACUGGGUGUCUGGCUGGGGACUGGGCGUCUGGCCGGGGACUGGGCGUCCGGCCGGGGACUGGGCGUCCGGCUGGGGACUGGGUGUCUGGCUGGGGGCUGGACGUCCGGCUGGGGACUGGGCGUCCGGCUGGGGACUGGACGUCUGGCCGGGGACUGGGCGUCCGGCUGGGGACUGGACGUCUGGCCGGGGACUGGGCGUCCGGCGGGGUGUACAGUUCUGGAGGGAAAAGCCUCCUUCCGAUCCUGCUGCCUUCUCACCCCAGUGAUGUCGCACCUGCAGACGGUCCUGUUUCCCCCGUGUGCGCCGCGUGCCCGCUUCACGGUGCUUUCCCCACGCGCCGUGUCUGAGUGCGGGACCGGACGGCCGCGUGCCGGCAUGGCCGUUUUUCUCACGGCACCACGCUCUAGGUGGAGAGCGCUGGCCGCCAGGGCUGAGCAGUUUCUCGUGUUGGCUCUGCAGCCACUUCCUGUCCUGGUUCCCGUGUUCUCUCUCGCGGGGCUUCUGCCGCGGACACUGACCUCUGGGAAAGCCGCUGACAGCCACGUCUCAUCUCUCCAAUCUCUCCUGCCUCUUCAUCACAGCCAGCUGCAGCUGCUCUGAGGCUGCGUUUCUGCCACCUGCAGCCCAGCGCACCCCUCCUGUGCCCUGAAGUCUGUCCUCACCUGUCUGCUGAAAGCAACCGUUUCCCCACUUCCAUCAACCUCAAAUGUCGGCAGUCACGUAAGUGCUCAGCCAAGCUGCCCCGCGCGGGACGCCCGGCAUCGCCCGAGCGGAUUCCCCCUCCACAGCUCUGUUGCUCGCGUCUUCUGCCACUUUUCCACGGCACCGUCUGACCUCCCAUGGAUUGGUAAGAAGGCUUUCCAGAGAGCAAGCUGGGCUACGUUAAACCUACAGUGAACCUGUGUCCGCAUCUUUACACCAUCAACCAACCACUCGCAGCCCUUGCACGACCGCCGGCGGGCUAGGUCGAGGCAGACUUGUCGCUCUACACCUAGAGCGAGGUGUGUGGGACAAUGACGCCCUGGAGAACCAGGAAACACUACGGAAUACCGUGUCUUGUAACCAGCACAUCAAACUCAACAGGCAGUCAUUUUAUUCCGAUUUUGCAGGACAAAUGCUGAAAGCAAACAUUUUAAAUUGGCAUUUUUUCCCCAUUACAAAAACUUAGAACAUUCUAGGCCCAGUAUUUAAAAACAAAGUGAUUAAAUGUUUGCCUUAAAUGAAAAUUACGUAAGGCAUACUGUGCCUAUCUGGAGACAUCAGCCUAAACUGGAACACUGCUGACCCUUUUCAGCGGAUUAGGAAUCUGAGGAGACGCCAACAUUUCUGCCACACUGCCCACAGCCAAGGUUAUCCCCCACUUCUGUUAGCGGUGAAAGAAGUAAGUUCAGCAGGACUUGACCGACUCCCAGCCAGCCGCCCCGCCCCAGAGCAGGUAAGGAUUCCUCUAAUCAGUUAACAAACAACCAGUCCUGACCACUGGAAAAACAAAGUUGCCCGUCCAAGAUAUGGAUUCGGGCGCUGAAAGAAACGUCCAACCAAGUGGAGCAGACACAAGCGCGGCUUGCGGUGCACGCCUGGUCUGGUUCUUGGGGGGGGG